rnacentral:rRNA from 1 species
AAUGAACGCUGGCGGCGUGCCUAAUACAUGCAAGUCGAACGGGGAUGCGCACGGGUGGGGAAUAUAAAGCUAAUCUGCCCCUUGCUGGAGGACAACAGUUGGAAAGGAAUGCGAGUACACCAUAGCAAGGGAUGAGACGAUGUCGUCUCAGCUUGUCGGUGGGGUGACGGCGUACCGCGGCUAUGACGCGUAACUGGUCUGAGAGGAUGAUCAGUCACAUUGCAACUGAGACCAGGUCCAAGCGCCGACGGGAAGCAGCCGUAGGGAAAAUUGCGCAAUGGGCGAAGCCCUGACGCAGCAGCGCCGCGUGGAGGAUGACACUUUUUGGAGCGUAGAAUCCUUUUGUUAGUGAAGCGGUACCUAACGAAUAAGCACCGGCUAACUCCGUGCCAGCAGCCGCGGUAAUUC